rnacentral:rRNA from 1 species
GUAGGGUGCGAGCGUUAAUCGGAAUUACUGGGGCGUAAAGCGUGCGCAGGCGGCUUUGCAAGACAGAUGUGAAAUCCCCCGGGGCUCAACCUGGGGAACUGCAUUUGUGACUGCAAGGCUAGAGUACGGCAGAGGGGGAUGGAAUUCCGCGUGUAGCAGUGAAAUGCGUAGAUAUGCGGAGGAACACCGAUGGCGAAGGCAAUCCCCUGGGCCUGUACUGACGCUCAUGCACGAAAGCGUGGGGAGCAAACAGGAUUAGAUACCCUGGUAGUCCACGCCCUAAACGAUGUCAACUGGUUGUUGGACGGCUUGCUGUUCAGUAACGAAGCUAACGCGUGAAGUUGACCGCCUGGGGAGUACGGCCGCAAGGUUG